rnacentral:rRNA from 1 species
UGAAUUGCAGAAUUCAGUGAAUCAUUGAAUCUUUGAACGCAAAUGGCGCUCUUGGGUUCUCCCAGGAGCAUGUCUGUCUGAGUGUCU